rnacentral:SRP_RNA from 1 species
GGGUGGGUCCGGCGCGGCAGACACCUGCGAACCCCGUCAGGUCCGAGAGGAAGCAGCGGUAAGUGGGUCCCUCUGGGCGCCGCCGGGUUGCCUGCCCGGU